rnacentral:rRNA from 1 species
GAGUUUGAUCCUGGCUCAGGAUGAACGCUGGCGGCGUGCCUAAUACAUGCAAGUCGAGCGAACAGAUAAGGAGCUUGCUCCUUUGACGUUAGCGGCGGACGGGUGAGUAACACGUGGGUAACCUACCUAUAAGACUGGAAUAACUCCGGGAAACCGGGGCUAAUGCCGGAUAAUAUUUAGAACCGCAUGGUUCUAAAGUGAAAGAUGGUUUUGCUAUCACUUAUAGAUGGACCCGCGCCGUAUUAGCUAGUUGGUGGGGUAAUGGCUUACCAAGGCAACGAUACGUAGCCGACCUGAGAGGGUGAUCGGCCACACUGGAACUGAGACACGGUCCAGACUCCUACGGGAGGCAGCAGUAGGGAAUCUUCCGCAAUGGGCGAAAGCCUGACGGAGCAACGCCGCGUGAGUGAUGAAGGUCUUCGGAUCGUAAAACUCUGUUAUUAGGGAAGAACAAAUGUGUAAGUAACUGUGCACGUCUUGACGGUACCUAAUCAGAAAGCCACGGCUAACUACGUGCCA